CUCAGCCUCAAGCCCACAGGUUUUUGCCAAUUUGCACGGCUGAAUGGAGCUUAGAUGGGAAUGCACCUGGGACGCCACCAUCCCAGAAGGGAGGCACUGCCUGGUGAGAACCCGUCCAGACACUUGCGCUCACAGAGGCCCUGACUGUUGAGUUGUAAAGACCUCGAGUCCUGGGAGCUGCACAGACCGUCUUCUCACUGGCAGCUCAGGGGUCUCAGCUUCUCUACAACAAGCGUCACCUUUGUGAACAUCCAGAUUUUUAUAACCUCAGAGUAUCCUACUAGAUUUAGCAAAUCCUGCUCCCUUUGCACCUUGCAAGUUCUUGGAGGCGGGCAUUUUUAUCACAACCCCCAAAUUAUCAUCUUGAUUCAUUUCCCAAUAUUUAAUGAGAUGAAACUCGUCCCUGUACACCCUGGGGAAAGAGAAACAAGUGCAUUGCACUUUGCUAAAAAUACCACUCAUCACUCGGAAGGAGAUACCGUGAAAACACCUGAGAAUCGAGGAAGAUUGCCUUUGUGUUCUGUGGGAACCGUGGUCCCAACCCUGACGUCAUGGAGAGAGAUUUGGUUUGUUCAUUUGCCUCCUUGUUUCUGUAACCUUGAUGCUUCUGGAGACAUCCACAAUGCAGUACCGCGGGGGUUAUGGUUUUCACCUGUCUGCACCUCAUCUCGUCGCCUUCUCUGCAACAGGUGGUGACGGAGAUCUCAGGACAGCAGCUAUCAGAGGUCUUUCGCUCACUUUGCCAAUAAAAAGAAGGGACUAAAGAGGUAGAAAUCAUAAAGUGGAGUGAAGUCGAGGAGAGAGAUGACUUCAAGCACCCAGCCUUGGCCGGACAGACGAGCGAAAGGUCAGGAUGGGGCAGCAGAGCGGGGACCCCGGACAGCCCAGGAGGAAAGCGGCUGCCUGAUAUGUCUGCGGGAAGGAAAGCAGGAGGACCAAGAGCGGCUAGAGAAGGAGGACAAGCAGGAGGCCAGAGGAGGAGAGGCAGCGCUCAGAGAGGAAGAGCUCACAGGCGGCCGUGUCGGGCAGGGCCCCUGCCGGCAUCCGGGUCUGCACAGUCAGCCGACAGGAAGAGACAACAGGACAACUCCAGGACGAGUUUGGGACCGGAAAUAGCAA
rnacentral:lncRNA from 1 species